UGUACCUACGGGGGGCAGCAGUGAGGAAUAUUGGUCAAUGGGCUUACGCCUGAACCAGCCAAGUCGCGUGAGGGAAGACUGCCCUAUGGGUUGUAAACCUCUUUUGUCAGGGAGCAACGCCGGCUACGUGUAGCCGGACUGAGAGUACCUGAAGAAAAAGCAUCGGCUAACUCCGUGCCAGCAGCCGCGGUAAUACGGAGGAUGCGAGCGUUAUCCGGAUUUAUUGGGUGUAAAGGGUGCGUAGACGGGAA
rnacentral:rRNA from 1 species